UAUAAAAGCCUAUAGUACACAUUCCUUUGAAUACAAUUAGUUCCCCUAGCAGUACGUGCAAAAUCUGUAAUGGGGGGGCCUACCAAAUGGAGGAUUCAUCUAGUAGCCCAUGCACUUAGGGCCACCUGAUGGACAGAGGCUGUGGUACUUUAAACAGUGUGACCCAUCCCCUUUAAUGAUAACUGUGCUUGGAGGAAAUUAGAUUCUGUGACUUUUUCCCAGCUGACUAGCAUCAUGCAUGAGCAAUUGGAGGAGGCAGACCAGCCCUUAACUUCCAACAGCCUGUGCCUAAAGAAGCUACCUGCAUCCAAAAGUUAGGAAACUGGAGUGUGGCUGAACUUUUUACCUGUCUGUAUCUGCAUGUGGCAAGGGCUCUGCCACAUGAGCAGAUGCACAAAUGGUGUGUGUUU